rnacentral:lncRNA from 1 species
AAAAUAUAAUCUGAUAAUUAAUGGUUUGCUGAAUCCAUUAUGAAGUGCAAUUAGAUAGAUGCAGGGUUCCCGCGGCUCAGAGGGGACCGGUAGCAUUUAUCUUCCUUUCCCUAAUGCCAAAAGGUUGAACUCUGCCGCUGCAAUAUUUACAUACGGAGCGGUGAUCCCUGCCACAGUCCUGUGGUGAGCAGCGCCUGCUUCAUCACACAGCCCAGGAGAUGAACAGAUUGGAGUUUUCCAGGAGGUUUUUGUGACGCCGUGGUAGUUGGUCAUUCCCGUUCCAGCUCGAAGAGUGGAAUUGAACAGCAAGGAAUGUGGUUUGUCCCCAGGGCUUUGCUGCGACAGCGGAAAGGAGGUAGUGUCACUCCCACUGAAAUCAGGAAUGACCAGGAGAUGGUGCUCAAGGUCUUGAGUAGUGCCAGCGGACAGGUGUCUGCUCCGCCGAGAGCCAGCCCUGCUGCACUGUGCUCCAUCAGCUCCUGUCAGGCUGAAGCUCAGCCCCGGGCCCUGCAAAUCGCUGCAUAAAGAAGAGGCUGGAGCCGGAGGGACUAAAACACAGAUGCUGCUGGGGUGAAGCAGUGAGGCCUGCACCCUGCACUCAGGUCAGGCUGGAGCAGUGAGGUCACCCUGGAGGGCACCGUCCAAUGGUUCUUCAACCACAUCAAUUAAUGAGGGAGGUAGAUGGGAGCUUCACCCCUCAGCUUGUGGAGAGAGAUGGAGGCGUCCUCCAAGAGAUGGAGCUUGCUCUCCUCCUGGCUGCAGUCAGCCGUGGCCAUAUGCCACCACUCCACAGCAUCGCUCUCCUUGUCGCAUUCACCCGCUGCACAUCGAACCCGACGUCGUUUGCUCUCUGAGCAUCCCUUGGCUGCUGUUAUUCAGUCCAGUGACAUGGAGGCUUUUUCCAGCCUGCUUACAGAUCACAGCGGAUUUGGCUGUACACAGGAGUAGGUCGGGGGAUCCCUGCGGCGUGCACGAGCUUCCAUUUAUCAACACGACGUUUCCCUUGCAGCGAGAUGGGUUUCUGUUAGCAGUGAGAUCCCUCUGCAGCUCCUCUCUCCCUGGCUAACCCAGAUAAUCUGCCACAGCUCCGUGGGCCUGUUAAACACACACAGUGCUGCUGUCCUUGUGCACAGCCAGGGCAGGUUGUGAGAUUCUGCACUCCCCUGAGCGUGGGAUGCCGUCAGGUUUUUAUUGGAAGUCCAAGCAAACAAAUCUGGAAGGAUCAGUGCUGCUGGUGGGGCGUUGGGUGCCAAGUUGUGUCCUCCUUCAGCUCUGGUGGAGAGGAAGGGGGUGUUACCAUUGCUGUAUCCCUUUGGGACCCUCCUGUGGUUACCCAGGCUGGGGCAUGCAGUGUAAUGAGAGCCCAGCUGUGUACACCCAGCUUCUCCCUGAGCAUCCUUCAGGAAAAUCAAUGAGGAAUAGGAUUUGCCAUGCUGGUCCAGCGUGCUCGGGGUCUUCUCUUUGGUCCCAUGCUGCAGAGGUGACCAUCCUUUGCUGCUCACACAAACAUUUCUUGCAACAAACAGUCCCUCCUGGUGGCCCCCCAGCCAUAGGUCACGUCCAGUCUAGUGCUUUCCUCUCCCUCAGAAGGAGGCAGCUGAGAUUUGUGAGCGUUAGCUUCAUUAUUCAGCAAUUAAAAUGUUCCGGCCUCGUCGCGACGCGGGAGUGCAUUAAUGAUUUAUAGCAGCGCGCUUUGAUUCGACGGCACCGGAACGAACUUUGAGAGCGGUGAAUUCUGCUGAAAUCCCAAAUGCAGAUCCCAAAAUAUUGUCCCUUGCUGGUCUGAGCCCGUCCCAACCCU